rnacentral:rRNA from 1 species
UACAGAGACCUCAAGCGUUAUCCGGAAUCAUUGGGAGUAAAGCGUGCCGAUAGGUGGUUUUGAAAGUCUUGGGCAAAAGCCAGAAGCUCAACUUCUGAGUUUGCCUAAGAUACUGCAAAACUAGAGGGGCAAAGAGGUCCUUGGAACGAAUGGUGUAGUAGUGAAAUGCGUUGAUAUCAUUCGGAACACCGAAAGCGAAGGCAGAGGACUGGGUGCCACCUGACACUGCUAGGACGAAAGCGUGGGGAGCGAAUGGG